AGUGAACGCUGGCGGUAGGCCUAACACAUGCAAGUCGAACGGCAGCACAGUAAGAGCUUGCUCUUACGGGUGGCGAGUGGCGGACGGGUGAGGAAUACAUCGGAAUCUACUUUUUCGUGGGGGAUAACGUAGGGAGACUUACGCUAAUACCGCAUACGACCUACGGGUGAAAGCAGGGGAUCUUCGGACCUUGCGCGAUUGAAUGAGCCGAUGUCGGAUUAGCUAGUUGGCGGGGUAAAGGCCCACCAAGGCGACGACCCGUAGCUGGUCUGAGAGGAUGAUCAGCCACACUGGAACUGAGACACGGUCCAGACUCCUACGGGAGGCAGCAGUGGGGAAUAUUGGACAAUGGGCGCAAGCCUGAUCCAGCCAUACCGCGUGGGUGAAGAAGGCCUUCGGGUUGUAAAGCCCUUUUGUUGGGAAAGAAAAGCAGCAGGUUAAUACCCCGCUGUUCUGACGGUACCCAAAGAAUAAGCACCGGCUAACUUCGUG
rnacentral:rRNA from 1 species